rnacentral:tRNA from 1 species
GGGGCGUUAGCUCAGCCGGCAGGGCAGUGCAUUGUCGAUGCACAGGCCAGGGGUUCGACCCCCCUACGUCCCGCCA